rnacentral:rRNA from 1 species
UACGAAGGGGGCUAGCGUUGCUCGGAAUCACUGGGCGUAAAGCGCACGUAGGCGGAUUGCUAAGUCAGGGGUGAAAUCCUGGAGCCUCAACUCCAGAACUGCCCUUGAUACUGGCGGUCUCGAGUCCGGGAGAGGUGAGUGGAACUGCGAGUGUAGAGGUGAAAUUCGUAGAUAUUCGCAAGAACACCAGUGGCGAAGGCGGCUCACUGGCCCGGUACUGACGCUGAGGUGCGAAAGCGUGGGGGAGCAAACAGG